rnacentral:rRNA from 1 species
UGGGGAAUCUUGCGCAAUGCGCGAAAGCGUGACGCAGCAACGCCGCGUGGGGGAAGAAGGCCUUCGGGUUGUAAACCCCUUUCAGGAGGGACGAAGGUUCGGCGGUGAAUAGCCGCCCGAACUGACGGUACCUCCACAAGAAGCCCCGGCUAACUACGUGCCAGCAGCCGCGGUAAUACGUAGGGGGCUAGCGUUGUCCGGAAUCAUUGGGCGUAAAGCGCGCGUAGGCGGCCCGGUAAGUCCGCUCUGAAAGUCCAGGGCUCAACCCUGGAAUGCGGGUGGAUACUGCCGGGCUAGAAUCCGGAAGAGGCGAGUGGAAUUCCUGGUGUAGCGGUGGAAUGCGCAGAUAUCAGGAGGAACACCAAUAGCGAAGGCAGCUCGCUGGGACGGUAUUGACGCUAAGGCGCGAAAGCGUGGGGAGCAAACA